GUUAUACAUAGAAAUGAUGUUCUUUGUCAGCAGUAGCAAGUUUUUGUCCCUUCUAAAAAGUUGAAAGUUCAAGUAAUGGUUUGGUGUUUUGAUGUACAUACUGAAAUCAGGGUUGUCCUUAAAUUGCCUUCCAGCUAUGUAAGAAGUCCAACUAAAGAUUAGCAAAGCAUUUUAGGCCAACAAGUAGACUUUCGGCUCAUGUAGAACCAAAACCUUUUGCGUCUAAGCAGGCUCCCUUAUUGUUUGAGUUCAGUCACCUUUAUAUCUUGUGGAGUAGAAAAAACAUAUUCUAAUGGAACAUUUGCGGGCCUAUUAUAGGCCAGAGUUUCAUCUACAAUGGCUCUGCUACACAUUCAGCUUGAUAUGCCUCUACCAGUGGGUCUAAAAUCUGUCAUAAAGGAGUAUUCUUGUUGCCAGAAUAUUUCCAUGUCUAUUGUAGACCAAGGUUCUCCAAUCUGGCCCUCCAGAUUUUGCUAAUCUACAAUUCCCAUAAUUAUUUGAAAGAAAUGGCCAGAGAGUCAUGGGAGUUGUACUUCAGCAACAGAGUUUGGAGAGCUCUGUUCUAGACCGUCUUAUACAGAAGUGGGCAAAAGGUAAGUUCCUGGCUCUUACAAACCUUCGUGUUAUGUUGUAUUGUGUUGAUGGUAUGUGUGUUGUUUUUUGCUUAAAUGAAAUUUUUAUUUAUUUAGAAUACUUGAAUUAAGUUCCCAAUUAGUGAAAAUCUAGUACUGUCUUGUAUGAUUUAU